ensembl:snoRNA
UUGGCCCUGAAUCAAAGCCAACAGUUUGGUGAAGCUGUUUUGGUUUCAAGCAGGAGCCUAAAGAAUGUCUUUCUUGGUCUGUUGGCCAUUUCAGAACUUUGGAAAUGUAAUGGUCAGUUCAUUAGAAAGAAACAUUG